rnacentral:lncRNA from 1 species
ACAUUAUUAUUUUAUUACAUUAUUAUUAUAUUUUUUUUUUUUUUUUUUAAUGUUGUUGUUUCGGUAAAAACAAAACUAUAAAAUUAUUUAUUGUCCUUUUAUAAAAAAAUUAAUUUUAUUAAUAUUUCUUUUUGUUUAUAUGUACUUUUUUUUUUUUUUUUUUUUUUAUAUACAUCAUUUGCAUUUUUCAGGUUUUUCAUAUUUUAUAAUAAAUUUAAAAUCAUUUUAAAAUAGAUAAAAUGUAUCAAAGAUAUACGUUUUUAUUAUAACAUAAGUAUAUUAAAGCCUUUUUUUCAUUCUUUUUUUUUAUAAGUUAACAUUAAAAAAAUUAACUUUUUAAUUUUUUCUAAAUAUAAAAAAAACUAAAAGUAUAUUUUUAUUUACUUAUAAAAACUAUUUGAAAUAAAAAUUUUGAAAUAGAAACCCACAUAUUGGUUUAGAUAGAGAAAAUACCGUAUCAAUUGUUAACGAAAAUGAUUAUGAAUGUCUACCACACUCCAUUUAUGUAGAUCGAAGAAAUGUUGAUAUAUUUAAUGUUGAUGUGGCAAAGUAUCAAAAGAGCGAAUACAAAAGAAUUUUUAAUUUAAAUUCACCACAAGUUAUAAACGAACCAAAAUUUGCUGCAGAACCAUCAUACGUCGAAAAAUCAUCAGAUACUGAAAGUGUAAAAAAUGAAAGUGACGAUGACAAUUUAUUGGUUCCAAAAAUAUACUUAAUUUUGAGUUUUUUUUUACCCUUUAUAGGUUUGUUUAAAAAAAAAAUAAUAAUUGAAUAUGUGCGUUAUGUACACACAUUGUUUUGCGUUGUAUAUACAUAUAUAUAUAUAUAUCUACUAUUUAUGUGUUGUGUAAGUACUACAAAUGUGACGUACACAUGUAUAUAAUUUUUUUUUUUUUUAAUAUACAUUUAU